CGUCAAAUCAUCAUGCCCCUUAUGUCUUGGGCUUCACGCAUGCUACAAUGGACCGGUACAAAGGGCUGCGAUACCGCGAGGUGGAGCGAAUCCCAGAAAGCCGGUCUCAGUUCGGAUUGGGGUCUGCAACUCGACCCCAUGAAGUCGGAGUCGCUAGUAAUCGCAGAUCAGCAACGCUGCGGUCGAAUACGUUCCCGGGCCUU
rnacentral:rRNA from 1 species